ACAAUCAACCCAAGACAAAGAGAUUCAUCCAUUCAACUGGUUCAAAAAAGCCUGGUCCCAGAUCUCGUUGCGCUAUCAUGUCCACUCCUUGUCACUUGGCAUGGCUUGACAUGAUAACACAAGCAGAUCUGGGACCAGGCUAGCACAACAGCACAAGCAGAUCUGGGACCAGGCUAGCACAACAGGACAAACAGAUCUGGGACCAGGCUAGCACAACAGCACAAGCAGAUCUGGGACCAGGCUAGCACAACAGCACAAACAGAUCUGGGACCAGGCUAGCACAACAGCACUAACAGGUAAGGGACCAGGCUAGCACAACAGCACUAACAGGUAAGGGACCAGGCUAGCACAACAGCACUAACAGAUCUGGGACCAGGCUAGCACAACAGCACUAACAGAUCUGGGACCAGGCUAGCACAACAGCACUAACAGGUAAGGGACCAGGCUAGCACAACAGCACUAACAGGUAAGGGACCAGGCUAGCACAACAGCACUAACAGGUAAGGGACCAGGCUAGCACAACAGCACUAACAGGUAAGGGACCAGGCUAGCACAACAGCACUAACAGGUAAGGGACCAGGCUAGCACAACAGCACUAACAGGUCUGGGACCAGGCUAGCACAACAGCACAAGCAGAUCUGGGACCAGGCUAGCACAACAGCACUAACAGAUCUGGGACCAGGCUAGCACAACAGCACUAACAGGUAAGGGACCAGGCUAGCACAACAGCACUAACAGGUAAGGGACCAGGCUAGCACAACAGCACUAACAGGUAAGGGACCAGGCUAGCACAACAGCACUAACAGGUAAGGGACCAGGCUAGCACAACAGCACAAGCAGAUCUGGGACCAGGCUAGCACAACAGCACAAACAGAUUUGGGACCAGGCUAGCACAACAGCACUAACAGGUAAGGGACCAGGCUAGCACAACAGCACUAACAGGUAAGGGACCAGGCUAGCACAACAGCACAAACAGAUCUGGGACCAGGCUAGCACAACAGCACAAACAGAUCUGGGACCAGGCUAGCACAACAGCACUAACAGGUAAGGGACCAGGCUAGCACAACAGCACAAACAGGUAAGGGACCAGGCUAGCACAACAGCACUAACAGGUAAGGGACCAGGCUAGCACAACAGCACUAACAGGUAAGGGACCAGGCUAGCACAACAGCACUAACAGGUCUGGGACCAGGCUAGCACAACAGCACUAACAGGUAAGGGACCAGGCUAGCACAACAGCACUAACAGGUCUGGGACCAGGCUAGCACAACAGCACUAACAGGUAAGGGACCAGGCUAGCACAACAGCACUAACAGGUAAGGGACCAGGCUAGCACAACAGCACAAGCAGAUCUGGGACCAGGCUAGCACAACAGCACUAACAGGUAAGGGACCAGGCUAGCACAACAGCACUAACAGGUAAGGGACCAGGCUAGCACAACAGCACUAACAGGUAAGGGACCAGGCUAGCACAACAGCACUAACAGGUAAGGGACCAGGCUAGCACAACAGCACUAACAGGUAAGGGACCAGGCUAGCACAACAGCACUAACAGGUAAGGGACCAGGCUAGCACAACAGCACUAACAGGUAAGGGACCAGGCUAGCACAACAGCACUAACAGGUAAGGGACCAGGCUAGCACAACAGCACUAACAGGUAAGGGACCAGGCUAUCACAACAGCACUAACAGGUAAGGGAAUCACAACAGCACUAACAGGUAAGGGAAUCACAACAGCACUAACAGGUAAGGGAAUCACAACAGCACUAACAGGUAAGGGAAUCACAACAGCACUAACAGGUAAGGGAAUCACAACAGCACUAACAGGUAAGGGAAUCACAACAGCACUAACAGGUAAGGGAAUCACAACAGCACUAACAGGUAAGGGAAUCACAACAGCACUAACAGGUAAGGGAAUCACAACAGCACUAACAGGUAAGGGAAUCACAACAGCACUAACAGGUAAGGGAAUCACAACAGCACUAACAGGUAAGGGAAUCACAACAGCACUAACAGGUAAGGGAAUCACAACAGCACUAACAGGUAAGGGAAUCACAACAGCACAAGGAAUAAAAAGAUAGAACACUUUACACUGAAUAGAGCCCGAUCCGGUUCUGUCUCUACUAUCGAAUGGUGAAAGCUCUCAGAUGCAAACUAAUAUUUAUAGCCAGGCCUCUCUUCCCACUGGGCACAUACAGUACAAGUACGUCAUUUCAACACCUAGUUUUGGUAACGUAAAUUCAACAAAUGUCACCAUGUCAUUGGAUUUCGGUUAAAAGUGGGGUAAUUAUUCCCUUCAAUUUAUGACUUUUUUUUGCAAAUCCAAAGCAGUUUUCCUACAUUUAUUCAACAUCAUCACACAGAUUUGUAUUUUUCUGUUUAAAGAAAACUGUCUGAAGAAAACAAACACACAUUGCAUGCUGUUUAAUGGGCUAGUAUUAUAGUGGAGCAUAAGGUGAUGAUCACAGGAUUGUAUCCCACAUGGCCACCUAUUCACUAUAUAGUGCACUACUUCUGACCAGAGCCCUAUGGA